GAACGAUUAAGACUUCCUUCGGGGAGUGCAUAAAGUGGCUCACGGGUGAGUAACACGUAAGUAAUCUGCCCUCGAGUGGGGAAUAACGUCCGGAGACGGACGCUAAUACCGCAUAACGCAGCGGCACCGCAAGGUGACAGUUGUUAAAGGAGCAAUCCGCUUGAGGAGGAGCUUGCGGCAGAUUAGCUAGUUGGUAAGGCAAUGGCUUACCAAGGCUACGAUCUGUAACCGGUCUAAGAGGACGGUCGGUCACACUGACACUGAAUAACGGGUCAGACUCCUACGGGAGGCAGCAGUGGG
rnacentral:rRNA from 1 species